rnacentral:rRNA from 1 species
UACAGAGGUCCCGAGCGUUGUUCGGAUUCACUGGGCGUAAAGGGUGCGUAGGUGGCUGGGAAAGUUUGAUGUGAAAGCUCAGGCUUAACCCUGAAAUGGCAUUGAAUACUGCCUGGCUGGAGGUUUGGAGGGGGACUGGAAUUCUUGGUGUAGCAGUGAAAUGCGUAGAUAUCAAGAGGAACACCAGUGGCGAAGGCGAGUCCCUGGACAACACCUGACACUGAGGCACGAAAGCCGGGGGAGCAAACAGG